rnacentral:ncRNA from 1 species
CUCCGGGGAAACGCCACAGGCAGAUUCCCGGCGUAAAAGGCGGAAAGCCGAAAAGGGAAGGCGAUGUGAAUUCGCUACGGUCCCGCCGCUGUGACCGGGGACUUUUGCCGCAGGGCAGGCCUUUUAUAAAGGCCAACAGUCAGCCACUGUCCUUAAUCGGACGGGAAGGCGCGGCUCAAAAGGUAUGAUCCGGGAGUCAGAAUACCUGCCCGUUCUCAAAAAAUAGG